GAACUGGCUUCAAGCCAGCCCCAGACAAAAAGGCAGGAACCGAAGAGGAACUGACACUCAAAUAGGGAUUUGUCUCAUUCAAUCCAGUUCAGCAUUUCAGACCAAUUGAGGAAAGGCCUGUCUACAUUUGUGAGAAACAAUGCCUUUCGAAUGGGAGAAGCUGCUGCUCCCCCAAAUUGCUGGGGAAGAAAGGGAGUUCCUGAUCUUUCUUAUUGAGGCUCAUGGAGCUUCUGUCCUGGAGAUUCAGUAUACUUCAGUAAUGGCUCUGGAGAAGAGAACUCAGGAUCCUCAAGACCCAAUGGCUCGUGAUGAUAAAAGUCUUUGGGUCUACCGACAUUUUCCCUACAUGAUCAGACAUAUCUGCAUGCAUUUAUUGGCAUAUUUUUCCAUACUCAAAGCAAGUUGCUAUGUGUUAGUACUAAAGCAACCCAUAAGAGUAAAAAUGAAUUUCUGCACCAAGAGAAUGAAUCGGCAGCUGAGAAAGUCAGAGUGAAGAGGCCCCAGUAAUAUCUCUACCUACUUGAAGGUUAAAUAUUCCUAAGACUCUAGGAGGAAAG
rnacentral:lncRNA from 1 species